rnacentral:lncRNA from 1 species
AUGCAUACAUAUAGAGGGGACUCUGUAACUGCAAAAAUGCAAUUUGUCAAGAUUUACUAUCUGCAUCUGCGAACUGAGAUCAAACUGAUCAUUUUCAUUUGCAAGGAUGGAGAAUCACCACAUCACACAACUGGCAAUUUUAUAUCAUCACUGACAUCUUUUGCUCACACCUUGCAACCUGAAUUACAGGAUAUGUUUCUAUGCUGUGUUGCAAUGUCUCUUUGGUGUUCUGACUGCACGAGGACAGGUGGACGACACAGAGUGUCACAUAGCCUUGACCCAACAGGCCAGCUGCUAAGACAGAUCCUCUCAGCAGCGCUGAAACACCGUGCUUUGGUUGGAAGUGCUGUUGCUGAAGCAGUAUCAGCUGUCUCCAAGUGUGAUGGCAGGAGACCUGCUGCAGACCAGAGCACCCAGUCUUGA